CUCAACCGUGAAGACGCACUGGAAACUAUGUGGCUUGAGUCCAAGAGGGGGAGCUGGAAUUCCAGGUGUAGGGGUGAAAUCUGUAGAUAUCUGGAAGAACACCGGAGGCGAAGGCGAGCUCCUGGCUAUGGACUGACGCUGAGGCGCGAAAGCGUGGGGAGCGAACAGGAUUAGAUACCCUGGUAGUCCACGCUGUAAACGUUGUGCACUGGGUGUUGGCCUUGAAAGGUCAGUACCGUAGCAAACGCGAUAAGUGCACCGCCUGGGGAGUAUGCCCGCAAGGGUGAAACUCAAAGGAAUUGACGGGGGCCCGCACAAGCGGUGGAGCAUGUGGUUUAAUUCGAUGAUACGCGAGAAACCUUACCAGGGCUUGACAUCUAUCUGACGGCCAUAGAGAUAUGGCCUCCCUUCGGGGCAG
rnacentral:rRNA from 1 species